CUGGUUGCUGCAGCCUCUGGGCAGACACAGCCCAGGUCCUCAACUAUGAGGGUGGCUCCUCAGAGACACUUCGAGGAAAGGAAGCAUGGAAAGCAGUUACGCAGCAUUUGAAGUUCUGAUCUGGGACAGUAUUUGGAUGCAUCCUCUCAGCUUGAGAACAGGUUAUUUGCUGUAACCAAACCUCUGGAUGAUGCUGUUGCUGCUCUUAAAGAUACAUUCCAUAUGAGAGAGACUACUGAAAGCAAAGAGCACCGGGGAGAAAAACCCAGCCCAAACCAUCUCCUCUGACAGAAAAAUGUGAAUAAACUCCCUGUGUCCAGAAGAGCAUACCAGCUCCAAUUAUUUCCACCUUCAGACAUGAUAAACAGAAUUCUGAGGCAUUCUGGGUUAUCUCAGCCCUGGUGAUGAGGAAGGCUCCAUAAACCUUCUUUUCCUGUAUUCAGGAGGGAUUGU